rnacentral:rRNA from 1 species
AUUGAACGCUGGCGGCAGGCCUAACACAUGCAAGUCGAACGAGUGGCGGACGGGUGAGUAAUGUCUGGGAAACUGCCUGAUGGAGGGGGAUAACUACUGGAAACGGUAGCUAAUACCGCCUACCAUCAGAUGUGCCCAGAUGGGAUUAGCUAGUUGGUGGGGUAACGGCUCACCAAGGCGACGAUCCCUAGCUGGUCUGAGAGGAUGACCACGGAAGCUGGAACUGAGUAUCAGGGCAAGAGCGUACGAGAGUCGCUCAGGGAGAAUGUGGCAGAACGGGUGCAGACCAGAAGCAGCGAUGCCGCGCCUAGUAGGAAGUACAUAGGGUUGCUAAGCAUUUACAGCGUGGAGACGUUAGCCUCAGAAGAAGCACCGGCUAAUGCCGUGCCAGCAGCCGCGGUAAUAC